ACGCUGGCGGUAUGCUUACACAUGCAAGUCGAACGGUCUUUUAGGAGACAGUGGCGGACGGGUGAGUAACGCGUAAGAAUCUACCUUCAGGUUGGGGACAACCGCUGGAAACAGUGGCUAAUACCGAAUGUGCCGAGAGGUGAAAGGCUUGCUGCCUGAAGAAGAGCUUGCGUCUGAUUAGCUAGUUGGUAGUGUAAGAGACUACCAAGGCGACGAUCAGUAGCUGGUCUGAGAGGAUGAUCAGCCACACUGGGACUGAGACACGGCCCAGACUCCUACGGGAGGCAGCAGUGGGGAAUUUUCCGCAAUGGGCGAAAGCCUGACGGAGCAAUACCGCGUGAGGGAGGAAGGCUCUUGGGUUGUAAACCUCUUUUCUCAGGGAAGAACAGAAUGACGGUACCUGAGGAAUAAGCAUCGGCUAACUCCGUGCCAGCAGCCGCGGUAAUACGGAGGAUGCAAGCGUUAUCCGGAAUGAUUGGGCGUAAAGGGUCCGCAGGUGGCAUUGUAAGUCUGCUGUUAAAGAGUUUGGCUCAACCAAAUAAGAGCAGUGGAAACUACAAAGCUAGAGUGUGGUCGGGGCAGAGGGAAUUCCUGGUGUAGCGGUGAAAUGCGUAGAUAUCAGGAAGAACACCAGUGGCGAAGGCGCUCUGCUUGGCCGAGACUGACACUGAGGGACGAAAGCUAGGGGAGCGAAUGGGAUUAGAUACCCCAGUAGUCCUAGCCGUAAACGAUGGAUACUAGGCGUAGCUCGUAUCGACCCGAGCUGUGCCGGAGCUAACGCGUUAAGUAUCCCGCCUGGGGAGUACGCAGGCAACUGUGA
rnacentral:rRNA from 1 species